rnacentral:rRNA from 1 species
GACGAACGCUGGCGGCGUGCUUAACACAUGCAAGUCGAACGCUGAAGCUCAGCUUUUGUUGGGUGGAUGAGUGGCGAACGGUUGAGUAACACGUGAGUAACCUGCCUCCUUCUUUGGGAUAACGCCCGGAAACGGGUGCUAAUACUGGAUAUUCACUGGUCUUCGCAUGGGGGUUGGUGGAAAGGGUUUUUCUGGUGGGGGAUGGGCUCGCGGCCUAUCAGCUUGUUGGUGGGGUGAUGGCCUACCAAGGCUUUGACGGGUAGCCGGCCUGAGAGGGUGACCGGUCACAUUGGGACUGAGAUACGGCCCAGACUCCUACGGGAGGCAGCAGUGGGGAAUAUUGCACAAUGGGCGCAAGCCUGAUGCAGCGACGCCGCGUGAGGGAUGGAGGCCUUCGGGUUGUGAACCUCUUUCGCUCAUGGUCAAGCCGCAACAAUGGUUGUGGUGAGGGUAGUGGGUAAAGAAGCGCCGGCUAACUACGUG